UGCAGGCUCACAGAAAGACCAUGUAAAACUAACUUUCAUUAUGUGUAUAAGGUGUAUGUGAAACACAAAUGAAUUUUCUAUUUAGAAUUGGGUCCUUUCUCUGAAAUAGCUCAUUAUGUAUAUGAAAAUAUUCUGAAAUCUGGAAAAAUUCAAAAAUUGGAAAUAUUCCUGAAUGCAAGGACUUUGGAUGAAUGAUGCCUAUCUUGUAGCUCACAGAUGCAGAAGUGAAAGAUUUUGCUUGGAGAAGAGAAUGAUAUGGAACUCAGUUCAUUCAGGGUCAGGAUACCUUUUCUAAUACUGAGGUAGCUUGACUGCUUGACCAAUAACCAGCUCCAGUUGCUCCCAACAGACGGGUAGAAAGAGGGAGAGAACACAAACAUGGAGAAGCAAGAAUGCAUCCCAGGUCAAGAAAAAGAGCUUGGUUUUGAUUUCCAAUAUUUGUUCUCAUCACACACCUUGUGUUGGAUGAACAAAACCUGCGUAUGAGAUGAACAACAGCAAACUUCAUUCAUACCACCAUAUUAUGCUGUUGGUUCCAGAAUAAAAAUAGAGUGACUGCCCUAUUCAGAGGUGAAAGCCAUCCAUAUUCUCCAAAUCAGCAGCACAUUAUUUCUGACAAGUGAAGCUGAGUUCAAUAGGGUGCAGUAAAGUGGCUUAAUAAAGCAUCUUAUUCAAAAUAGGU